rnacentral:rRNA from 1 species
UACGUAGGGGGCAAGCGUUGUCCGGAAUUAUUGGGCGUAAAGAGCGUGUAGGCGGCCAUACAGGUCAGCUGUGAAAACUCGAGGCUCAACCUCGAGACGUCGGUUGAAACCGUAUGGCUAGAGUCCGGAAGAGGAGAGUGGAAUUCCCGGUGUAGCGGUGAAAUGCGCAGAUAUCGGGAAGAACACCUAUGGCGAAGGCAGCUCUCUGGGACGGUACUGACGCUGAGACGCGAAAGCGUGGGGAGCGAACAGG